GCACCGGUGGUGCAAGAUUAAGGUGCACGUCCCUGUUACCUACCAGCUGUGUAGAUGGUUACAGUCUAAAUCAGGGAAGAGCGGGGUUCGAUUCCCCGCUGGUGCA